rnacentral:rRNA from 1 species
UACGGGGGGAGCAAGCGUUGUUCGGAUUUACUGGGCGUAAAGGGCGCGUAGGCGGCCUGGCAAGUGGAUGGUGAAAUCCCUCGGCUUAACCGAGGAACUGCCAUCCAGACUGCUUGGCUUGAGACCGGGAGAGGCGAGUGGAAUUCCCAGUGUAGCGGUGAAAUGCGUAGAUAUUGGGAGGAACACCAGUGGCGAAGGCGGCCCUCUGGAUCGUUGCUGACGCUGAGACGCGAAAGCGUGGGGAGCAAACAGG